CGAGCACAUGACGAAGUGAGCGGGCUCUUUGUAGCCCUGGAAAGUCCCCGGGCCCUCAACCGCAGAGAUGCGGCCGCGGAGACGCGGAAAGUCUCAGCGCUCGCGCCCUCCUCUUCGCGAGGGGGCAGAGACACGUGUGGAGCCCUUUGGGCGCGAGCCGAGAUCAUAAUUGGCCAAUUACACAGUUAUUCACUUGAUCCAUCUCCGGAUUAACAGAACGGGGCUUACGAUUGUGUGCAA
rfam:Oryza sativa Japonica Group DNA, chromosome 1, cultivar: Nipponbare, complete sequence.